CUCUAAUACACAUUUGAGAUGAUAUAUUUUACGGAAUAUAUCCAGUAAAAGUAUUAGUAUUAAAGAGAUUUAUUCCUUCCGCAAAGGUAAAAAUGUAUCAGUAAAAUAUAUAUUAGUAAAAAUUUUGAAUAUAGGUAUUUUAU
ncrna:unclassified sequences RT-14 RNA